GUUUUUGUAGCUUAAUUAUACAAAGCAUCGCACUGAAGAUGCGCUGAUGGAAGCCCCCUCCCGAAAACA
rnacentral:tRNA from 1 species